rnacentral:rRNA from 1 species
UACAGAGGUCUCAAGCGUUGUUCGGAUUCAUUGGGCGUAAAGCGUGUGUAGGUGGCCAUUCAAGUCAGUUGUGAAAGCCCCGGCUUAACCGGGAAGUGCUUCUGAUACUGUUUGGCUUGAGUACUGGAGAGGAUAGUAGAAUUCCAGGUGUAGUGGUGAAAUACGUAGAUAUCUGGAAGAAUACCGGUGGCGAAGGCGGCUAUCUGGCCAUGUACUGACGCUGAGACACGAAAGCGUGGGAGCAACAGG